UACAGAGGUCUCAAGCGUUGUUCGGAUUCAUUGGGCGUAAAGGGUGCGUAGGCGGCGAGGUUAGUCAGGUGUGAAAUCCCGGAGCUUAACUCCGGAACUGCACUUGAUACUGCCUUGCUUGAGGACUGGAGAGGAGAUCGGAAUUCACGGUGUAGCAGUGAAAUGCGUAGAUAUCGUGAGGAAGGCCAGUGGCGAAGGCGGAUCUCUGGACAGUUCCUGACGCUGAGGCACGAAGGCCAGGGGAGCAAACGGG
rnacentral:rRNA from 1 species